rnacentral:rRNA from 1 species
GAUGAACGCUGGCGGCGUGCCUAAUACAUGCAAGUCGAGCGAAUGGAUUAAGAGCUUGCUCUUAUGGAGUUAGCGGCGGACGGGUGAGUAACACGUGGGUAACCUGCCCAUAAGACUGGGAUAACUCCGGGAAACCGGGGCUAAUACCGGAUAACAUUUUGAACCGCAUGGUUCGAAAUUGAAUGGCGGCUUCGGCUGUCACUUAUGGAUGGACGCGCGUCGCAUUAGCUAGUUGGUGAGGUAACGGCUCACCAAGGCAACGAUGCGUAGCCGACCUGAGAGGGUGAUCGGCCACACUGGGACUGAGACACGGCCCAGACUCCUACGGGAGGCAGCAGUAGGGAAUCUUCCGCAAUGGACGAAAGUCUGACGGAGCAACGCCGCGUGAGUGAUGAAGGCUCUCGGGUCGUAAAACUCUGUUGUUAGGGAAGAACAAGUGCUAGUUGAAUAAGCUGGCACCUUGACGGUACCUAACCAGAAAGCCACGGCUAACUACGUGCCAGCAGCCGCAGUAA